rnacentral:rRNA from 1 species
AGAGUUUGAUCCUGGCUCAGAAUGAACGCUGGCGGCAGGCCUAAAACAUGCAAGUCGAACGCUGUAGCAAUACAGAGUGGCGCACGGGUGAGUAACAUGUGGGAAUAUGCCUUUUGGUACGGAACAACGUCUGGAAACGGACGCUAAUACCGUAUGGUCCCUUCGGGGUAAAGAUUUAUCGCCAAAAGAUUAGCCCGCACUAGAUUAGCUAGUUGGUGAGGUAAGAGCUCACCAAGGCGACGAUCUAUAGCUGGUCUGAGAGGACGAUCAGCCACACUGGGACUGAGACACGGCCCAGACUCCUACGGGAGGCAGCAGUUAGGAAUAUUGGACAAUGGGCGCAAGCCUGAUCCAGCCAUGCCGCGUGAGUGAUGAAGGCCUUCGGGUUGUAAAACUCUUUAGCCGAUGAAUAUAAUGACUGUAGUCGGAAAAUAAGCCCCGGCUAACUUCGUGCCAGCAGCCGCGGUAAUACGAAGGGGGCGAGCGUUAUUCGGAAUCACUGGGCGUAAAGCGUGCGUAGGCUGCUUAGAAAGUUGGAAGUGAAAGCCCAGGGCUCAACCCUGGAAUUGCUUUCAAAACUACUAGGCUAGGAUUUGGGAGAGGAUAGCGGAAUUGUCAGUGUAGCAGUGAAAUGCGUAGAUAUUGACAGGAACACCAGUGGCGCAAGCGGCUAUCUGGACCAACAUCGACGCUGAGGCACGAAAGCGUGGGGAUCAAACAGGAUUAGAUACCCUGGUAGUCG